UGGAUCCUACGGGACGCAGCAGUGAGGAAUAUUGGUCAAUGGGCGGGAGCCUGAACCAGCCACGUCGCGUGAGGGAAGACGGUCCUAUGGAUUGUAAACCUCUUUAGGCGGGGAGCAAUGCCGAGCACGUGUGCCCGGAGGGAGAGUACCCGCAGAAUAAGCAUCGGCUAACUCCGUGCCAGCAGCCGCGGUAAUACGGAGGAUGCGAGCGUUAUCCGGAUUUAUUGGGUUUAAAGGGUGCGUAGGCGGAUUUUUAAGUCAGCGGUAAAAUGUCCGGGCUCAACCCGGGCCGGCCGUUGAAACUG
rnacentral:rRNA from 1 species